rnacentral:sRNA from 1 species
GCGACUCCCAUGCAUCGGCUGAUAGCCCGGAGACAAGCGUAAUGAAGCAAAUAAGCAACAUGUAAGAUGUCAGAAAUGCUUGGAAUUUGGACAUUGGACUUAUGAAUGCACAGGAAAAAGAAAAUACCUACAUAGGCCCUCAAGGACAGCAGAACUAAAGAAAGCUUUAAAAGAAAAAGAAAACAGAUUAUUAUUACAACAAAGGAGCUUUUUUCCCCCUCGUGUUUAUCAGCAUUGGAGAAACCAAUGUAGAAAGAAAGGCCAAGAAAAAAAGGUCUAAGAGUGUAACCAGUUCCAGUAGCAGUAGCAGUGACAGUUCUGCCAGUGAUUCUUCAUCAGAGAGUGAAGAAACAUCUACCUCUUCCUCCUCAGAGGACAGUGACACUGAUGAAAGCUCCUCUAGUUCCUCAUCCUCAGCCUCCUCCACAACCUCUUCCUCCUCCUCUGAUUCAGACUCAGAUUCCAGUUCUUCGAGUAGCAGUAGCACCAGCACAGAGAGCAGCUCUGACGAUGAACCACCAAAGAAGAAGAAAAAGAAAUAGAGUUGCUCCGUUCAUAUUGGACCGAUGGACUGAAAACAUUGAUGUGAUUCUUGAAAGGGAAUUUAGAAUAUGUUAAGGCCAAGUAGGUUAACUGGUGAACAUUUCUAGAAUUCAAAAGUUUCUAAAUGUUUUACAUUGUAAGAGCAUAAAGAGUAUUAAUAAUGGCUUAU